GGCGCACGGGUGCGUAACGCGUAUGCAACCUACCCUGUACUGAGGUAUAGCCCGGAGAAAUUCGGAUUAACCCCUCAUGGUAUUAAAGAGUCGCAUGAUUUUUUAAUUAAAGGUUACGGUACAGGAUGGGCAUGCGUCCUAUUAGCUAGAUGGUAAGGUAACGGCUUACCAUGGCUACGAUAGGUAGGGGGCCUGAGAGGGUGGUCCCCCACACUGGUACUGAGACACGGACCAGACUCCUACGGGAGGCAGCAGUGAGGAAUAUUGGUCAAUGGGCGCAAGCCUGAACCAGCCAUGCCGCGUGCAGGAAGAAUGCCCUAUGGGUUGUAAACUGCUUUUAUUUAGGAAUAAACCUUUCUACGUGUAGAAAGCUGAAGGUACUGAAUGAAUAAGCACCGGCUAACUCCGUGCCAGCAGCCGCGGUAAUACGGAGGGUGCAAGCGUUAUCCGGAAUCAUUGGGUUUAAAGGGUCCGCAGGCGGAUUUAUAAGUCAGUGGUGAAAUCCUAUCGCUUAACGAUAGAACUGCCAUUGAUACUGUAAGUCUUGAAUUCGGUCGAAGUGGGCGGAAUGUGUAGUGUAGCGGUGAAAUGCAUAGAUAUUACACAGAACACCGAUAGCGAAGGCAGCUCACUAGGCCUGGAUUGACGCUCAGGGACGAAAGCGUGGGGAUCAAACAGGAUUAGAUACCCUGGUAGUCCACGCUGUAAACGAUGAUUACUCGUUUUCGGCGAUACACAGUCGGAGACUAAGCGAAAGUGAUAAGUAAUCCACCUGGGGAGUACGAUCGCAAGGUUGAAACUCAAAGGAAUUGACGGGGGCCCGCACAAG
rnacentral:rRNA from 1 species